rnacentral:rRNA from 1 species
GGCUCAGGACGAACGCUGGCGGCGUGCCUAACACAUGCAAGUCGAACGGAGUGAUUUGGAUUCGUCUGGAUCACUUAGUGGCGGACGGGUGAGUAACGCGUGAGCAACCUGCCCUUCAGAGGGGGACAACAGUUGGAAACGACUGCUAAUACCGCAUAACAUAUAUUUGGGGCAUCUCAGAUAUAUCAAAGAUUUUUAUCGCUGAGGGAUGGGCUCGCGUCUGAUUAGAUAGUUGGUGGGGUAACGGCCUACCAAGUCGACGAUCAGUAGCCGGACUGAGAGGUUGAACGGCCACAUUGGGACUGAGAUACGGCCCAGACUCCUACGGGAGGCAGCAGUGGGGAAUAUUGGGCAAUGGGGGCAACUCUUGACCCAGCAACGCCGCGUGAAGGAAGAAGGCUUUCGGGUUGUAAACUUCUUUUAUGUGGGACGAUAGUGACGGUACCACAUGAAUAAGCCACGGCUAACUACGUGCCAGCAGCCGC